CUUCUAAAGGAUCAAAGUUAAUCCGU
rnacentral:tRNA from 1 species